rnacentral:rRNA from 1 species
AACGAACGCUGGCGGCAGGCCUAACACAUGCAAGUCGAGCGAGCAUUUCGGUGCUAGCGGCGGACGGGUGAGUAACGCGUGGGAACGUGCCCUUUUCUGCGGAAUAGUCCUGGGAAACUGGGGGUAAUACCGCAUACGCCCUUUUGGGGUAAGAUUUAUCGGAGAAGGAUCGGCCCGCGUUGGAUUAGGUAGUUGGUGGGGUAAUGGCCCACCAAGCCGACGAUCCAUAGCUGGUUUGAGAGGAUGAUCAGCCACACUGGGACUGAGACACGGCCCAGACUCCUACGGGAGGCAGCAGUGGGGAAUCUUAGACAAUGGGGGCAACCCUGAUCUAGCCAUGCCGCGUGAGUGAUGAAGGCCUUAGGGUUGUAAAGCUCUUUCAGCUGGGAAGAUAAUGACGGUACCAGCAGAAGAAGCCCCGGCUAACUCCGUG